rnacentral:tRNA from 1 species
GGUUAUAUAAUUUAAAUAUAAAAAUGUUAAAUUGCAAAUUUAAGAAUACAUAUAAUUGUUAUAACUU